GAUCAUGGCUCAGGAUGAACGCUGGCGGCGUGCUUAACACAUGCAAGUCGAACGAAACACCUUAUUUGAUUUUCUUCGGAACUGAAGAUUUGGUGAUUGAGUGGCGGACGGGUGAGUAACGCGUGGGUAACCUGCCCUGUACAGGGGAGUAACAGUCAGAAAUAGACUGCUAAUACCGCAUAAGACCACAGCACCGCAUGGUGCAGGGUAAAACGUACCGGUGGUACAGGAUGGACCCGCGU
rnacentral:rRNA from 1 species